rnacentral:rRNA from 1 species
CAGCCGCCGCGGUAAUACCCGCAGCUCAAGUGGUGGUCGCUUUUAUUGAGCCUAAAACGUUCGUAGUCGGCUUUGUAAAUCCCUGGGUAAAUCGGGCCGCUCAACGGUUCGAAUUCCGGGGAGACUGCAAAGCUAGGGACCGGGCGAGGUCAGAGGUACUUUCGGGGUAGGAGUGAAAUCCUGUAAUCCCGAAGGGACCACCUGUGGCGAAAGCGUCUGACUUGAACGGCUCCGACGAUGAGGUACGAAGGCUAGGGGAGCAAACCGGAUUAGAUACCCGGGUAGUCCUAGCUGUAAACUCUGCCCGCUUGGUGUGGCCUGUCCUUCGGGGGCAGGCUGUGCCGGAGCGAAGGUGUUAAGCGGGCUGCUUGGGGAGUACGGCCGCAAGGUUGAAACUUAAAGGAAUUGGCGGGGGAGCAC